rnacentral:lncRNA from 10 species
AUGGAUGGGCUCCGAGGGGCUUGCGGGAGGGGGGCGCCAGUGUUCGGGGCCGUUUUGGCGGCUAUGCAGGAUUGGCAGGAGCUGCGAUGCUCACACUUGCCUCGCCGACCGCCAUUUCACAUCCAGCAGAGGAGGCGGGGGCAGCCGCUGAGACGGUUUUUCACAAGGAAAUGACCUCAUUCUUGAUGGCUGCUGCUAACUUAUGGUGAGAUGCUGGGUCCCUGCCCAAUACCACAUGGACAUCCAAUCAAUUUACCCAGGGACAAGUCCACUCAAGAGCAUCAUUUAGAAGAGGGAAAAGGCACUGGGGUUAUUUGUUUUUGGAGUAUGUGCUUAAGGAAAUCUAGAGUAUUCCCACGAGCAUUCUGCUGAGAUGAACAAUCAGAUGACCUCGUGUGAGAUUUGGAGGAGAGAAGGAAAUGGAGAGCAUGCGUCUGCCGCUUCUGUGGUUUCUGUCGUUAUGAAAUUGGAUGUGCCACACAACAUGCUCUUCAGCCGGUCAGAAAACGAAAAUAUUUUUUCAAGGCCUGGCUGACUGUUGUGUCAUCGUCUACAUGCACUUGUGGGCACACAGCUGAAUGGGAGGCAAAGAGAUGCAAAAAGUGAGCUGAGUGGCAGGAGGACUAAUUCCUGUCCUCUCUUUAUUGCCAUGGGAUUUGCUUUCAAUCCUCACUCUUCAGGCUUUCUCCAUAUUUACGUGCUUGUAACUCUGGCAUGACCUUUGCUCCAGUCUCUACCAGAGGGCGGUGCCUGGAUUGAAGUGGAAAAGCCCUGUUUUCCAGCCAUGACCCAGGGAGCAAGCACUGACUCCUCAGGGGAACAGGAGACCUGCCAACUAGGACCCUGGGAGCCCCCAUGCUGGCAGUGCCCUGGGUCAUCUCAGGCUCAUCAGCAAAUCCUGGGGGGAGAGCGGGGCUGGAGGGCGAAGAAGCCCAGGAGAGUUCCUGGCUCAGAACCCCUCUCUGAGGCUCCCAAUACAGAGCCCAGGCCCCACACCCAGGGCCUCUGAGUAUUUUUGUUUAUUGUAUGUAAAAUACUAGUGUAUUUUUGUUUAAGUCUCACAGGUAAACAGGUUCUCUCAUACUUUGCCAAGGGAAAUGUGAUCUGUGCAAUUUGGCAAUAACUAUCAGAAUUUUAAAAGCUUAUGCCCUUUGACCUAGUAAUUUCACUUCUAAGAAUUUCCCCUGCAGAGAUAUGUAUAUCUUGUAUGAAAUGAAGAGGCUACGAAGACAGGCAACGCCGCAGUGUUUAUAAUAGCGAAGACCAGACACAACCCACAUGUCUAAAGGUUCUGAUUUUUAAAACUGUAGUAUAUCUGUACAAUGAGCACUCCACAUCCUUUAAGAAUGAGGAAGGGCUGUGUGAACUGAAAUGGAACUAUCUCUAAGAUUUAUUAAGUUAAAAAAAUUCAAGAGUAGCACAGUGUGUAGGGUAUGCCAUCAUUUGUAUGAUAUAAGGUCGUAUAUCUGCCAUCUCAAAUGAGGAACAGUGGUUGCCUCUGGGAAGGGAAUUGGAUGGCUAGGAAUGGGGUAGGAAAGAGGUUUGCUUUUCAGAACAUUUUAUACUAUUUAAGUUUUGUAACAAGUGCAUCUAUUUUGACUUAAAAGAUAAAAAAUGAAAAGGAAAGGCUCCACUAGUGAUUCUGAUGCUCACAAAGAUUAAGAACCAAUGCGAAUGAGGAACUCAUGACACCGCCCAGGAGACAGUGAACAUAUCUCUUCAAAUAUCAAAAACCUUUCAGCAGAGGAGCCAUUCACCUUGAAGCUGAGGAGGCAUGGAAGCAGGCCACCUGUGUUCUGUACAGCAUCACCAGGCUGGAAAUCUGCCAUGGCUUUCCUUCACGCCAUCACAAGAGGAUACAGAUGAGGCUGCAGAGGCAUCUUGAUUUGAGAAAAGCAUUUGACUGGAUCUCAUUAAAUUUUAAUCAUUAACUGAAUUCAAAAUAAAUUGAAAACUGGUUGACAGAGCACCAACAAAGGGUGAUGAUAAAUGGUGAUGCAUCUAGAGGGGAGCUAUCUUCCAGGGGACAACUCUAAGGCAAGGACGGAUGGGAUUUAAUGAAGGUGUUAUGUCCCCAGAAGAAGACAAAUAGCACAGCAAGGAACAGAGGAAGGACAGGAGUGAGCAGCCUGAGUAAUUAAUAAACCAUAUUAACAGCUCCUCCAUAAUCAGGCCUUGGUGAUCACAACUGCUUGGAUUUUUUCUUAAGCUUUCUUUGAGUCAGGAAUAGGUUUGAAGCGUCCUAGAGACACACAGCAUGAAUAUUUCAGGUGGACAUUAAAAAGAAAUCUAUAAAUUUACAGCUGGGAGGAUCCUGAGAUCUACUUCGGAUCAGAAACUUUCAAUUACAAGAUUCCCAAGGCCUUACUUCAUUCCCCAGAGAGUAAUCUUUUUAAUAAAUGUCCAAAAGUCAUGGAUUUAAAAAAAAAUCUUUAAACUCAUUAAUGUCCUUUGUUUCCUGCCCAAAUGCAUGCAAACUUUCAUAACACUGGUUUGCUGAGUGGAAGGUUGGUUUUGAGUGAACUGUUUGGCUCAGAUUCAAACUCCAAUGAACAAAUACUUCCAAGUUUACUUGCUGAAUUUCCCAUACAGAGAAGUUCUUCCACUGGGCUUGCCAGAGGAUUUGAAACAGUGGUGAGCCCUGGAAGGAAGGGAAUAUUUACUGGCCCUUGGACAUAAACCCAGCACAGUAAGACUCACAUCAGGCUGAAGGCAGUGCAGUAUGAACCGACCUGAUUUGAGGAAGUUUGCUCUGGGACUCCUCUGAGCUACUAAAUGAGGAGGAGAAGGACUAAUGGGAACACACUGACUCCAUCACAUUAGAAGUUAUAAUAAACAUUUAGAGAACAACCUCAAACCAGCCCAUGUUUUUUUUUUUUUUCUGUCGUUGUCAUUGUUUUGGUUUUUGUUUUUUUGUUUCUUCAGAUAAGAUGGUUU